UACAGAGGGUGCGAGCGUUAAUCGGAAUUACUGGGCGUAAAGCGCGCGUAGGCGGCUUUGCAAGCCGGAUGUGAAAUCCCCGAGCUUAACUUGGGAACUGCGCUCGAAACUACUUGGCUAGAGUGUGGCAGAGGGAGGUGGAAUUCCACGUGUAGCGGUGAAAUGCGUAGAGAUGUGGAGGAACACCGAUGGCGAAGGCAGCCUCCUGGGCCAACACUGACGCUCAUGCACGAAAGCGUGGGGAGCAAACAGG
rnacentral:rRNA from 1 species